GCAAACCUAGGUAGGCAGGAUUACCCGCUGAAUUUAAGCAUA
rnacentral:rRNA from 1 species